rnacentral:tRNA from 2 species
UGCGGUGUAACUCAAUAGGUAGAGUAAUACAUUAACAUUGUUGGUCGUGCUCGGUACGGCAUGAUGUUGACGCCUGACGAGAGUGCCGGUUCGAGUCCGGCAGCCGCAA